GGCCGGUGAAGAAGAGGGAAGAGGAAUCAAGGGAAGUAAGCCAGGCCCAUUCUUGAUUACCGAAUGAGUAUACCUCCCAGGGUUGGAUUUAACCAGUCUUAGUGGGGCUGUGAGGGACAAGCAAACUCACCCAUUGCUGGAGGAAGCAGAAAAUGUCAUGGUACCCACAGGAGGGGAACUAGGCAAAAUUACAUACACAUUUACCCAUUUCUAGGAAUCUCUCCCAAAAGUACGCUGCCAAAAACCUGAACUGACACUGGCACAAAGCUGUUUGCUGCCAGUCUUGUUUAUGCUCACAGAAGACCCAGAGGAUCCGCACAGAGAGAACUGCACCGGUCUGCCGAGGCCCUGGGGAAGAGGUUGGAGUCUGGACAAAACGCCGGUUUCUCUGGUGUCUCCGUGGGGAGUGCCUAUGGAGGGUCACAGGCCCCCAGGAGGAGCACAAACCCUAGAUGCUGUAGGAGUUAAACGUUCCAAACAGAAACAUCACAUACACCUGGGAGCCAAUAGACCAUUCUCCCCUCUACAGGCCAGCAACUCACCAGUUGACUGCUCCUCUCAUACGUACUUCUUGGGUUUCACUUCUUAGAAAACUUCUCAGUGUUCUACAAACAGGGACAGCUGGUCAGCGUGACAAUUUCUCAUUCCUGCACCCUGACAUCGCCUACUAAGAAAAUCUUCACAGAGGCGACUUCUUGACUCAGGCUGUGUUUUUAAGGGAACCCAGACUGUGACAGGCAGUUCAUCUGAGUCACCACGGAAUGCCCGCCUCUUUCUGAAAUAUUUCUAACAUACUCCGUACAACCCUGUACAGGAGCUUCCAGGAGUAGCUGUUGAUCAUCUACACAGCGUCAGCGGUGAAAAUACAGUGUUUCCUGGGCGAUGCUGGAGGCGUGGCCAGCUGCUCUGUGUGUGUGUGUGUGUGCGCGUGUGUGUCUGUCUGUCUGUCUGUCUUGUCUGUCUUGUCUGUCUGGAGCUCAGAGGUGGAGUCUUACGUUUGAGGCCACAAGUCAUCAGCAGAUUGAAUGAACUUUGUGUAUCUGUCUUCUGGAACGACUGCAUCUAAUUUCUGGGUUAUAAUGUUAUCUGAUUAGAAGUUAGAGUGGUUUUUUUUUCUUCUAUUUUUUUUUCUAUUCCAAUUAAGAUCCAGCUAAAUCAAUUUCCCCCAGAGGCUCCAAGGAAGCAAAACUAUCCUGUUCUCCACCAGAAACAGGAAACUUACGCCCCCUAGGGGAUAAAUAAGUGUAUGACAGUUCGGGGAAGCCAGUGACUCACCCCCAUCUCGAAUAUAUGCAAGAUUUUUUUUCCUUUUCCUUCUCUAAGGAAUAAAUCCUAUUGCUUAAAUUUUAUGUACA
rnacentral:lncRNA from 1 species